CGAGGACGAACGCUGGCGGCGUGCCUAACACAUGCAAGUCGAACGGAGAUGUUUAUUCGGUAGAUAUCUUAGUGGCGCACGGGUGAGUAACGCGUGAAUAACCUGACCCGAAGAGGGGGAUAACACCUGGAAACAAGUGCUAAUACCGCAUAAGACCACAGACCGGCAUCGGUCAGAGGUCAAAGGAGAAAUCCGCUUUGGGAGGGGUUCGCGUCCCAUUAGGUAGUUGGUGAGGUAACGGCCCACCAAGCCGACGAUGGGUAGCCGAGCUGAGAGGCUGAUCGGCCACACUGGAACUGAGACACGGUCCAGACUCCUACGGGAGGCAGCAGUGGGGAAUAUUGGGCAAUGGGCGCAAGCCUGACCCAGCAACGCCGCGUGAGGGAAGAAGGUUUUCGGAUUGUAAACCUCUGUCGCAGGGGACGAAGGAAGUGACGGUACCCUGUAAGAAAGCCCCGGCUAACUACGUG
rnacentral:rRNA from 1 species